rnacentral:rRNA from 1 species
GACGAACGCUGGCGGCGUGCUUAACACAUGCAAGUCGAACGGAAAGGCCCUGCUUUUGUGGGGUGCUCGAGUGGCGAACGGGUGAGUAACACGUGAGUAACCUGCCCUUGACUUUGGGAUAACUUCAGGAAACUGGGGCUAAUACCGGAUAGGAGCUCCUGCUGCAUGGUGGGGGUUGGAAAGUUUCGGCGGUUGGGGAUGGACUCGCGGCUUAUCAGCUUGUUGGUGGGGUAGUGGCUUACCAAGGCUUUGACGGGUAGCCGGCCUGAGAGGGUGACCGGCCACAUUGGGACUGAGAUACGGCCCAGACUCCUACGGGAGGCAGCAGUGGGGAAUAUUGCACAAUGGGCGGAAGCCUGAUGCAGCAACGCCGCGUGCGGGAUGACGGCCUUCGGGUUGUAAACCGCUUUCGCCUGUGACGAAGCGUGAGUGACGGUAAUGGGUAAAGAAGCACCGGCUAACUACGUGCCAGCAGCCGCGGUGAUACGUAGGGUGCGAGCGUUGUCCGGAUUUAUUGGGCGUAAAGGGCUCGUAGGUGGUUGAUCGCGUCGGAAGUGUAAUCUUGGGGCUUAACCCUGAGCGUGCUUUCGAUACGGGUUGACUUGAGGAAGGUAGGGGAGAAUGGAAUUCCUGGUGGAGCGGUGGAAUGCGCAGAUAUCAGGAGGAACACCAGUGGCGAAGGCGGUUCUCUGGGCCUUUCCUGACGCUGAGGAGCGAAAGCGUGGGGAGCGAACAGGCUUAGAUACCCUGGUAGUCCACGCUGUAAACGGUGGGUACUAGGUGUGGGGUCCGUUCCACGGGUUCCGUGCCGUAGCUAACGCUUUAAGUACCCCGCCUGGGGAGUACGGCCGCAAGGCUAAAACUCAAAGGAAUUGACGGGGCCCCGCACAAGCGGCGGAGCAUGCGGAUUAAUUCGAUGCAACGCGUAGAACCUUACCUGGGUUUGACAUGGAUCGGGAGUGCUCAGAGAUGGGUGUGCCUCUUUUGGGGUCGGUUCACAGGUGGUGCAUGGCUGUCGUCAGCUCGUGUCGUGAGAUGUUGGGUUAAGUCCCGCAACGAGCGCAACCCUUGUUCACUGUUGCCAGCACGUUAUGGUGGGGACUCAGUGGAGACCGCCGGGGUCAACUCGGAGGAAGGUGGGGAUGACGUCAAGUCAUCAUGCCCCUUAUGUCCAGGGCUUCACGCAUGCUACAAUGGCUGGUACAGAGAGUGGCGAGCCUGUGAGGGUGAGCGAAUCUCGGAAAGCCGGUCUCAGUUCGGAUUGGGGUCUGCAACCCGACCUCAUGAAGUCGGAGUCGCUAGUAAUCGCAGAUCAGCAACGCUGCGGUGAAUACGUUCCCGGG